UACGAAGGGGGCUAGCGUUGCUCGGAAUCACUUGGCGUAAAGGGUGCGUAGGCGGGUCUUUAAGUCAGGGGUGAAAUCCUGGAGCUCAACUCCAGAACUGCCUUUGAUACUGAAGAUCUUGAGUUCGGGAGAGGUGAGUGGAACUGCGAGUGUAGAGGUGAAAUUCGUAGAUAUUCGCAAGAACACCAGUGGCGAAGGCGGCUCACUGGCCCGAUACUGACGCUGAGGCACGAAAGCGUGGGGAGCAAACAGG
rnacentral:rRNA from 1 species